GCUAGUGUGGUAUAGUGGUUUGAACAUUAGACUACAGUUCUAGAGACCAGGAUUUGAAUCCCCACUUGGGUC